rnacentral:rRNA from 1 species
ACGGGUGAGUAAUGUAUCGGAACGUGCCCAGUAGCGGGGGAUAACUACGCGAAAGCGUGGCUAAUACCGCAUACGCCCUACGGGGGAAAGGGGGGGAUCGCAAGACCUCCCACUAUUGGAGCGGCCGAUAUCGGAUUAGCUAGUUGGUGGGGUAAAGGCCUACCAAGGCGACGAUCCGUAGCUGGUUUGAGAGGACGACCAGCCACACUGGGACUGAGACACGGCCCAGACUCCUACGGGGGGCAGCAGUGGGGAAUUUUGGACAAUGGGGGCAACCCCGAUCCAGCCAUCCCGCGUGUGCGAUGAAGGCCUUCGGGUUGUAAAGCACUUUUGGCAGGGAAGAAACGGCACCUUUUAAUACAGGGUGUCACUGACGGUACCUGCAGAAUAAGCACCGGCUAACUACGUGCCAGCAGCCGCGGUAAUACGUAGGGUGCAAGCGUUAAUCGGAAUUACUGGGCGUAAAGCGUGCGCAGGCGGUUCGGAAAGAAAGAUGUGAAAUCCCAGGGCUCAACCUUGGAACGGCAUUUUUAACUCCCGAGCUAGAGUAUGUCAGAGGGGGGUAGAAUUCCA